UACGUAGGGACCGAGCGUUGUCCGGAAUCAUUGGGCGUAAAGAGCGUGUAGGCGGCCUUUUAAGUCCUGCGCGAAAUCCUGCGGCUCAACCGCAGACGGUCGUGGGAAACUGGAAGGCUAGAGUGCGGGAGAGGAGAGUGGAAUUCCCGGUGUAGCGGUGAAAUGCGCAGAUAUCGGGAAGAACACCCGUGGCGAAGGCGGCUCUCUGGAACGCAACUGACGCUGAGACGCGAAAGCGUGGGGAGCAAACAGG
rnacentral:rRNA from 1 species